rnacentral:sRNA from 1 species
UACCCCUGUUGGGGGCACCGUCCGUCCGCGAGUUUCGCGCACGGGCGCAUUUUUG